GCCUGGGUGGCUCAGUCGGUUGAGCGUCCGACUUCGGCUCAGGUCAUGAUCUCACAGUUUGUGGGUUCGAGCCCCGCAUCGGGCU
rnacentral:tRNA from 1 species